GACGGGGACCCGCACAAGCAGCGGAGCAUGUGGUUUAAUUCGAAGCAACGCGAAAAACCUUACCAGGGCUUGACAUCCCUCUGACAGAUCCUUAACCGGAUCUUUCUUCGGACAGAGGUGACAGGUGGUGCAUGGUUGUCGUCAGCUCGUGUCGUGAGAUGUUGGGUUAAGUCCCGCAACGAGCGCAACCCUUGUCGUCAGUUACUAACAUUAAGUUGAGGACUCUGACGAGACUGCCGAGGUUAACUCGGAGGAAGGUGGGGAUGACGUCAAAUCAUCAUGCCCCUUAUGUUCUGGGCUACACACGUGCUACAAUGGUCGGUACAAUGAGAAGCAAGAUGGCGACAUGGAGCAAAUCACCAAAACCGAUCUCAGUUCGGAUUGCAGGCUGCAACUCGCCUGCAUGAAGUCGGAGUUGCUAGUAAUCGCGGAUCAGCAUGCCGCGGUGAAUGCGUUCCCGGGUCUUGUACACACCGCCCGUCACACCAUGGAAGUUGGGGGCGCCCAAAGUUGGUCAGUUAAUAGAUUACCUAAGGCGAAACCAAUGACUGGGGUGAAGUCGUAACAAGGGGGCCGUCGAAA
rnacentral:rRNA from 1 species